GCGAGGAAAUUCAAGAAUUCGUAAAACUUGAUUCCGCCUGCUUUUACGAAGUUAAUAUGUACUCGUAUCUUGGACAUUAUACUCGUCUACGUACAUUUAGUAGUAUCAUUAGUUCUGUUGUGUGAUUUUUGAGUGCAAUUAUAUGAAUUCAUAUAAUUCAGGUGUAUUAUUCAUUAAAAUAAUUCAAAUAUUUUUUUUCUUGUUAUUGUUUUCUUCCUCAAUCCGUUCUGUUUUUAAAUUCCUUUUUACGGACAGUGCUGAAUAACGUAUGCGCAUGCGCGGAAUCUGAUGCAAACAAACAACUUUUCGCUUCACACGCAGUUCUAGAAGUGCGACAAACAGUACCGGUUUACAGCAUGCCAAUUCUGCAUUAUUUUUGCUAAACUAGACUUUUUUGUGCGACCUGCAUCUUGAGUUUUGACUUUUUAACUUAUUGUCUACAAAUAAUCAAAUAUUAUUCAACUGGCGGGAGAUUUCUAGACCAGGGAAACGACCUCCUUGCUUUUGAUGGAACGAAAGUUUGUCGCUGUACUUUUCAUAGAUGACCAUGUUCUGAAAUGGCAACAAACGAGUGCUGCUCUAUUUGAAGAGACUUCUGCAUCCUCACGAGUGAUGGCGGACAGAAGCUGGUCAAACAGUCCAGGUGCAUGCUUAUCAGCAAAGCUUUUCAUAGCCACAGGAUCAUAGAGGGGGUCACCGCAGCUGCUAUUGUAGUAUCUAGACAUAGCUUGCUGACACUUAGCAACUAAUUCUUGGAAAGAAAGACCUAUAGACACAAUUGUAUAUGUGAAGAAUUAGUUAGUGUGUAAAAAGUUAUUAUUUUAAGCAUUAUUUUGAUUACUUAUAAUGAAAUGUUUGUUUGUUUUCUGUGUGUAUCACUUACAUACCUGAUGAAGAAAUAUCUUUUAUUUCUUGAGAUAAACCCGGUAGGAUGCUACUCUGGUCCAAACCCUAAAAUAUUGUUUUAGAAACAUUUCACUUGGUGUGAAUCUCAAUGUGAUAAAAACAGGACACCCUUCUUGCUAAAAUUUAAGGUUUGUACCCCCUACUAAAAUCCUGCAUCUAAGGUUUUGCUUGAUAAAAUUAUUAUUAAGUAGGGCCUUUAUUACCCUGUGAAACAAAUUUGAACAAUGCAUAUUUUUAAUAUUGAAUUUCUUUGUUCACUUUCGUUUUAUGUGUUACUGUAAACCACACAAAAUAAUGUUACCUGGUUGCCAUCAAUACUUGUUAGGGGUAGUCUGUUCUCAGUGUGUUUGCUUUUUGGUCUCUGUAAAGUAAAAAAAAUAAAUAAAAAAUAACAUAACAAAA